AUUAAACGCUGGCGGCAUGCCUUACACAUGCAAGUCGAACGGCAGCACGGGGGCAACCCUGGUGGCGAGUGGCGGACGGGUGAGUAAAGCAUCGGAACGUAUCCUGGAGUGGGGGGAUAACGUAGCGAAAGUUACGCUAAUACCGCAUAUUCUGUGAGCAGGAAAGCAGGGGAUCGCAAGACCUUGCGCUCUGGGAGCGGCCGAUGUCGGAUUAGCUAGUUGGUGGGGUAAAGCCUACCAAGGCGACGAUCCGUAGCGGGUCUGAGAGGAUGAUCCGCCACACUGGGACUGAGACACGGCCCAGACUCCUACGGGAGGCAGCAGUGGGGAAUUUUGGACAAUGGGCGGAAGCCUGAUCCAGCCAUGCCGCGUGAGUGAAGAAGGCCUGUGU
rnacentral:rRNA from 1 species